UACGGAGGGUGCGAGCGUUGUCCGGAAUCACUGGGCGUAAAGGGCGCGUAGGCGGCCUGAUAAGUAGGAGGUGAAAUCCUGCGGCUUAACCGCAGGGCUGCCUUCUAAACUGUCAGGCUAGAGCACGGUAGAGGCAGAUGGAAUUCCCGGUGUAGCGGUGGAAUGCGUAGAGAUCGGGAAGAACAUCAGUGGCGAAGGCGGUCUGCUGGGCCGUUGCUGACGCUGAGGCGCGACAGCGUGGGGAGCAAACAGG
rnacentral:rRNA from 1 species